rnacentral:misc_RNA from 1 species
CGAUGACGGAGAAGAGAAGCCCAACACGGAGGAACUGGAACAUGUAGAAGAGGACGUCCCACCCAUGCGGGGUACCGGUGACACGGAUGUAAUGCUGAUCCUCGGCGGCACAGGCGAGAUUUAGCGCCUUGGCGGUGAGGAGUCCAGCCAUGAGGAGGUGGAUCCGGUGAGCGGUGAGACGGUUACGGUAGCAGAGGUGUGCCCAGAAGGCAAGGAAGGCGGCGUAAAUGACGG